rnacentral:rRNA from 1 species
AAACUCUAUUUUAACGACGUUUCUUCUGAGUGGCACAAGCAAAUAAUUAAAACUUUUAACAACGGAUCUCUUGGUUCUGGCAUCGAUGAAGAACGCAGCGAAAUGCGAUAAGUAAUGUGAAUUGCAGAAUUCAGUGAAUCAUCGAAUCUUUGAACGCACAUUGCGCCCGCCAGCAUUCUGGCGGGCAUGCCUGUUCGAGCGUCA